UUCCUAAAUCUCAUUCAUACUCUGGCCAGAGAUUCUAAUCAUAUCAUAGAGUAUUCUCCCUCAAACGGUUUGAAGGUUAGAGAUCCCUUGUUGCGCAUUCACUUGCCUCCAUGGCUAAGUGGCUUAACCCCAACGAUGCCGUGGACACUCCAAUGGAAUAACGUUUGACAUAAUCAAAGAUCAAGGACUUAACCACAAGACAACGAUGAUGCCUCAGGUCAAAGGACUACUUUGCAUUAUCCCAACCAUGAGUUCUCAUGUGACAUGAAUAUGAGAACUCUUCGUUAAUCGUGUUCAGUGAACUCAUUCUCUAUUGAGCACCUACGUACUUGACUUGAUGUCACACACACCAAUGACUCGAGACUAGUCACUCUCCCUGAGAGAAGACACAGUACGUACCGAUCUUAACGGACUGUCAAUGCCCAAUUGACAAUCCUAUGAUCAUGAACAUUUAGGAUGUGUCUACGAAAGAAUGGUCUCAUGAAUCUAACUUCAUUAGAUU
rnacentral:lncRNA from 1 species